CCCGCCACCUCCCUCCGGUUCUAGCCAGUGCAACCGACGCCACCCCCACCCCACCAGCUUCUUCCCCCACCGGCGCCGCCACACCCUCAUUCGGCUUCAUCCACCGCCGGUGCCGUCCCACCCGCAUCUGGCUUCCUCGACCGCCGGUGCCGCCGCACCCACAUCCGGCAUCUUCCACCGCCGGCGCCGUCGUGCACCCGGCCGUGCGCCACACGGGAAGGGACCUCCUCAAAUCUCGUGCCUCUAUUCUUGCGUCGCCCCGUGCAUACCUUACAUUCACCGCCGCACUAGGCGCAACCGCCGCACCUCUGCCUCCCUUCCCCAGCCAAGAUCCGCUUCCAUGGCGGCUGGAUCCAUACUUCCACGCGCCGCCACUUCGUCUCUGGAGCUGCAGCUUCCGCUGCUCGGCCACACAAUGGGGAUAUGCCCCUCACGGCAACGACGCCAAUGCAGUUCUCCUCGCGCACCCCCGGACUCCUGCCUCCACUAGAUUGAUACUCCCUCUUGCCGGUGCAUGUCGAUGUCCUCCAUGGGAUUCUCCUCCUCCUCCCUCUUGGCCUCUACAGUACAAACAGCGACACCUUGAACCUAUCCAUGGACGACUGCUGCUUCCACCUCUCGGCCAAAUCCGACGCGUCCAGGCUCCCUUCCCUCUCAUUACUUCGGCAUGUGCAGUUCGUCCGGCGAGUCCGUGCAGUUCGCGGAUGACGGGAUUGCAGCUCCAGGCUCCCCGACUCCCUGUUGCCUCGAUCGAGGGGACGCCUUGGCCUCCUCCUUUCCUCCCCCUCCUCUGCUCCUCUCCCUAUGAUUCUCCACUGACGGCAAGCAGUCCAGGCUGCUCCCUAAUGCAGGUCAUCUGGGUCUUGCUCUCUGAGAGUUUUGUCGCUCCGCUGGAGCAGUCCACACAGCAGGCACACGAGGCCAUCAUCGACUCCCCGUGUAGUACACUUUUGUGAUGUGAGCCCACUGCUCCCCCCAUGCCUUGCCAACGAACCGGCCAUCCUCUUUGCGCCUUGCUAGUGCCCAGUGCAUGAGGAGCCUGGCGCCGGACUCCCUAACCUCCUUCAAGAACAGAUCCGGCCUUCCCCUCGGCCCUUCCCUGACUCUGUGUCAUGGCCGCACUGCACACUGCUGCAUGCGUAGUCCACGCCCUGAUGGCGUGCCCCCAUGCUCCUGUGUGCUGCCCCGACGACGGGUCGUCACCCGUUUCAACAGGUGCGUCGCUCCUCCGCGUGCAGUCCCCAACCGUCGCUACCGUCUGUAUCAAGUAAUCCGCUGAGCUGGAGCUGAAGGUCAAUGGCCGCCCCAUGCAAUCCAUGGUGCUGGCCGUGCUUUCUCCUGCUGCUCUGUGUGAGGUGAGGACGGGUUCUCUGUUGGCAAGUUCAUUGCGAGACUCCAUGGUGCUGGUCGCGCCACUCCUUUUCUUGUUGCUACGUCUGAGGCGAGGACGGGCUCUGCCACACCGGGAACCAGGGUGUUCGCGACACCGGCGAAGACGGCGUGGUGGUUCCCUUCUUUCCCAACAAUAGAAGUUGUCCUGCAGCUAUGUAAUUGUUGAAGUUCAGGAAUAUGUUUGGUGUCUAUUCGGAUUUCGUUUGGGCGCAACACUGUAGUUCGCCCGGGUCUUCACUACGGUGCGGACGGGUGUGCAGUCCACCGACGAGGGUGCUAGCAGUGCGAUGGCGUGAUGCUCACGGUCUUGAAUAAAUUUUUUUGAUGCGAUGGUGCGAUGGCGCAAUUUGUUUCGUGUGUUCUAAAGUUUAGUUGACUACGUCAACACCUGCA